rnacentral:rRNA from 1 species
AGGUUGGCUCAGAAGCAGCCAUCCUUUAAAGAGUGCGUAACAGCUCACUAGUCGAAUGACUCUGCGCCGAUAAUUUACCGGGGCUAAGCAUACUACCGAAGCUAUGGAUCCCAAGGGAUGGUAGGGGAGCGUUCCAUGAACGGAGAAGUACGACCGAAAGGACGUGUGGAGAUCAUGGAAGAGAGAAUGCCGGUGUGAGUAGCGGAACGUGGGUGAGAAUCCCACGCACCGAAAACCCAAGGUUUCCAGAGGAAGGUUCGUCCGCUCUGGGUAAGUCGGGACCUAAGGCGAGGCCGAAAGGCGUAGUCGAUGGACAACAGGUAGAGAUUCCUGUACCCGUAUAUAUGUGAAGGAAUGACGGAGAGAGGAAGCUGCAGCCAGCGGCUGGAAGAGCUGGUGCAAGCGAGAUAUCGGGAUGGCAGGCAAAUCCACCAUCCGAAACGAGAAGGCGUGAAGCGUACGGAAAGCUACGGCGAGUACGGAAGGCAGUGGAGGAACUUCCAAGAAAAGUUUCUAACGUUAAGUAUAUAUGGCCCGUACCGAAAAUGGACACACAUGGGUGAGGAGAGAAUCCUAAGGUGAGCGAGAGAACUAUAGCUAAGGAACUCUGCAAAAUGACUCCGUAACUUAGGGAGAAGGAGUGCUCAUAGAGAUAUGAGCCGCAGUGAAACGGCCCAAGCGACUGUUUACCAAAAACACAGCUCUCUGCUAAGCCGCAAGGCGAAGUAUAGGGGGUGACGCCUGCCCGGUGCUGGAAGGUUAAGGGGAGGGGUUAACGCAAGUGAAGCCCUGAACUGAAGCCCCAGUAAACGGCGGCCGUAACUAUAACGGUCCUAAGGUAGCGAAAUUCCUUGUCAGGUAAGUUCUGACCCGCACGAAAGGCGUAACGAUUUGGGCGCUGUCUCAGCUGUAGACUCGGUGAAGUCUUAGUACCUGUGAAGAUGCAGGUUACCCGCGACUAGACGGAAAGACCCCAUGGAGCUUCACUGCAGGUUGAUAUUGGGAUUUGAUGCAGCAUGUACAGGAUAGGUAGGAGGCAAAGAGAUGGAUACGCCAGUAUUCAAGGAGCCGCUGUUGGGAUACUACCCCUGUUGUAUUGGAUUUCUAACCGGACGACGUAGAGCCGUUGACGGGACAGUGUCAGUCGGGCAGUUUGACUGGGGCGGUCGCCUCCCAAAGAGUAACGGAGGCGCCCAAAGAUACCCUCAGCUUGGAUGGAAACCAAGCGCAGAGUGCAAAGGCAAAAGGGUGUUUGACUGCGAGACCCACAAGUCGAGCAGGGACGAAAGUCGGGCUUAGUGAUCCGGCGGUGCUGAAUGGAAAGGCCGUCGCUCAACGGAUAAAAGCUACCCUGGGGAUAACAGGCUGAUCUCCCCCAAGAGUCCACAUCGACGGGGAGGUUUGGCACCUCGAUGUCGGCUCAUCGCAUCCUGGGGCUGUAUUCGGUCCCAAGGGUUUGGCUGUUCGCCAAUUAAAGCGGUACGCGAGCUGGGUUCAGAACGUCGUGAGACAGUUCGGUCCCUAUCUGUCGUGGGCGCAGGAAAUUUGAGAAGAGCUGUCCUCAGUACGAGAGGACCGGGAUGGACGCAUCAAUGGUGGACCAGUUGUCACGCCAGUGGCAUAGCUGGGUAGCUAAAUGCGGAAGGGAUAAACGCUGAAGGCAUCUAAGUGUGAAACCCACUUCAAGAUGAGAUUUCCCAUUGCGCAAGCAAGUAAGACCCCUUAAAGACGAUAAGGUAGAUAGGUCAGGAGUGUAAGCAUGGUGACAUGUUAAGCGGACUGAUACUAAUAGGUCGAGGGCUUGACCGA